GACGAACGCUGGCGGCGUGCUUAACACAUGCAAGUCGAACGGAAAGGCCCUGCUUUUGUGGGGUGCUCGAGUGGCGAACGGGUGAGUAACACGUGGGUAACCUGCCCUUGACUUUGGGAUAACUUCAGGAAACUGGGGCUAAUACCGGAUAGGAGCUCCUGCUGCAUGGUGGGGGUUGGAAAGUUUCGGCGGUUGGGGAUGGACUCGCGGCUUAUCAGCUUGUUGGUGGGGUAGUGGCCUACCAAGGCUUUGACGGGUAGCCGGCCUGAGAGGGUGACCGGCCACAUUGGGACUGAGAUACGGCCCAGACUCCUACGGGAGGCAGCAGUGGGGAAUAUUGUACAAUGGGCGGAAGCCUGAUGCAGCAACGCCGCGUGCGGGAUGACGGCCUUCGGGUUGUAAACCGCUUUCGCCUGUGACGAAGCGUGAGUGACGGUAAUGGGUAAAGAAGCACCGGCUAACUACGUG
rnacentral:rRNA from 1 species